AAAGUCUUCUGGGGAGUGAUACCAAAAAGCCAGUCGAAGAAACUCUCUAAGACUUUUUUUUGAGUUUUAGAAAGCAGGCAUUCUUUAUUGCAGAGCUGGAUGCACAGGGG